rnacentral:lncRNA from 1 species
AGAAUAAUAGUCACAGCUAACAUUCAUCACACACAUACCAUGUGCCAGGCUCAGUGUCAAGAGCUUUCCUUACAACAGGUGUGUGAGGUUGAUACUGUUAUAAUCCCUAUAUAGCAGAUGAGAAAACUGAGGUUCAGAAAGGUAAUCAACUUGCUCAAGGUUACAUAGCUAUUAGGUUCUAGAAUUGGAAUUUGAACCCAGCUAGUAUGACUAUUGGGAAAGCACUCUUAUUGAGGCUCAACCUUGUCAUAGAAAGUGAAUAAUGCAACUUCAUUCAUUCACUCAUAGUUUCUACAAAUGUUUAUUGAACAUAUACUAUGUGCAAAGCAUUUUUGUGGUGAACACAACAUAGGUCCCAGUCCUUCUGUAACUUAUUUUUGAGCAGAAUAAACCAAAUCAUUAUACAAUACACUUACCUUGUAGGGUUGUUGUUAUGUACAUAAAAGUGCCUAACACAAACAUGUCACAUAGUGGAUAGCCAACAAAUAUUCCCAAGAAAUUUAUAACCUCAUGGGAAAGAUAAAAAAAUCCUGCACAAAUAACUGUAAUUCAAGAUAUAUUGUGGCAAGGUUUUAGAAGAGGCCAUAUUUUAUUUUAUUUUCCAGUUUUAUUGAGGUAUACAAAACACUGCACAUACAUAAUACUGUAAAAGCCCAGAGAAGGAAAUCCCUUCUGGUGGGCUUGAGAAGCCUUCAUGGAUGAGUUGGCAUCAUGACUUGGCCGUGGGGUGAAUGGGAUAGGUUUUUGGUAAGACACAUUGCAUGCAGAAAUACCAUGUGCUAAGACACAGAGGUGAUAAAGUUUAGGCAUUUUUGGGAACCAAAGGGUGAUUCUGUUGAUUAGGUAAAAGAGAGUAAUGGGAGGUAUGGCUGAAAAGACAAAAUGGAACCAACUCCUGGAAAUAAGAGUUUUGAUUGGGUUUGAAGAGGACAGAUAGGUAGUUUGGAAGAGUAAAGCAUGAGGCAGUGAUAGGUAAGCUGAGGAGGGAUGCUUUAGUAGUGGAUAACAUUUGGGUCUUUGGCACAAGGGCUGAGGCCACUGGAAGGCAGAAAAUGGUUGCAAAGAAAGAGCAUAAGAAUGUCAAAGGUUGCCUAUGUUCCCUGUACCCAGAGAAGGAAGACAAAUCUCCUUUGCCAUACUUGAUUUUAUUUUUCAGUAUCAUUGGGUAUAAUUUGUAUACAAAGCACUGUAAAUAAGGAAUGCAUACAAUUUGGUGCCCUAACCACUUUUCAGAAUGUUAUGUCAAUGGGAAAAUACAUUCUAUGGAUAUAUGCUUCAACUUUCGAAAUAUGAUUGGUCUGAAAAUUAAAGACUGUAUUCACAAAUUUUCAGAUCUGUUAACAAGAUUUAAUAGAUUUUCAAAGCUGGCCCAGACAACUUUCAACUUUGUUUCAUUAGGAAAAUGUAUUCCAAGGUCCAAACAACUGGAAAUGAACUUUUAGAAUACAGUCAAUACUUGAAUUGAGAGCUGCCUGUCUAGAAUUUCCUUAAUGGGCAACCACUGGUAAAUAUCUGUUUCCUUUAUCGUAUUUUCCAAAACUGCCCCAUCAUCAGGUUUUUUAACAAAAACCUGGGGAUUUUGUUAAAAUAUAUAGAUUUCUAGGCCCCUACCCUGGAGAUGCUAAUUCACUAGGUCUGGGGUGGACCCUGAGAAUUUGUGCUUCAAUAAAAGGUCCAAGGGAUUCUUAAGAUCAGGAAAGUGUGUACAAAUCUUUAUCAGAAUACCCUGUUUUUUGUUUUUUGUUUUUGAGGUAAGUGACUAUUUUGGUUCUCAACUGAAUUUUAACAAUGAAGGGAAAAUCUUUCCAGCAGGGCUUAAGAACUGUCAGUAGCUGACAACAUUUCAGCCUGAUUAGCUCCUGGGGUGAGGAGAUGGGGAUAUGUUCAUAUGCUGCUCUGUGCUUCCUUGUGAACUGGCAACAUCUCAAGAUGUUUCUGAUGCUGGAGAAUCCCUCAAAGUGAGACAGAACUGAAAGCCCUGGUCCCAAGAUGAGCCAGAGAUGGGGUCUCACAAUGUUGCCCAGACUGGUCUGAAAUUCCUGGACUCAAGUGAUCUGCCCACCUUGGCCUCCUAAAAUGCUGGAAUUAUAGGCAUGAGUCUCCAUCCUGGCUGCACUACAGUAAAGUUUAGUCUUCAACCUCA